CGGGUGACUGCCAUGGAA
rnacentral:misc_RNA from 1 species